rnacentral:lncRNA from 1 species
UCCAGCUUUGGAUCAAUGGGUGUCCAUGAGUUCGUGCACAGGCAUUCCUUUGUGUCUAUGUGUCCAUGAGUUCGUGCACAGGCAUUCCUUUGUGUCUAUGUGCAUGCAAUUUGUCCAAAAGAAUGCUCUCACCACUUGAAAAAUCUAUAGCUUCUCUUAGAGCUGCAACUUCCAUCAUCCGCAGCACUCACCACACACGAGAGACCAUCUUCUGCACGCGUCACACUAUCCUCAAGAACCCGCGAACUUCAAUUGGGAAGUUGGUCAGGUUCUUCCUAAACCUUUGGUAGUUCAUCCGAUCGAGUGUGCAAGAAAGCUGAUUCGAACUUGUGAGAGAUUGCAAUGCGUUUUGUCAGCCUCGAUUUAAAUGUUGGAUUGGC